rnacentral:rRNA from 1 species
UACGUAGGGUCCGAGCGUUGUCCGGAAUUACUGGGCGUAAAGAGCUCGUAGGUGGUUUGUCGCGUUGUUCGUGAAAACUCACAACUCAAUUGUGGGCGUGCGGGCGAUACGGGCAGACUUGAGUACUGCAGGGGAGACUGGAAUUCCUGGUGUAGCGGUGGAAUGCGCAGAUAUCAGGAGGAACACCGGUGGCGAAGGCGGGUCUCUGGGCAGUAACUGACGCUGAGGAGCGAAAGCGUGGGGAGCGAACAGG